UACGAAGGGGCUAGCGUUGCUCGGAAUCACUGGGCGUAAAGGUGCGUAGGCGGUCUUUAAGUCAGGGUGAAAUCCUGGAGCUCAACUCCAGAACUGCCUUUGAUACUGAGGAUCUUGAGUUCGGAGAGGUGAGUGAACUGCGAGUGUAGAGGUGAAAUUCGUAGAUAUUCGCAAGAACACCAGUGGCGAAGCGGCUCACUGGCCGAUACUGACGCUGAGCACGAAGCGUGGGAGCAACAGG
rnacentral:rRNA from 1 species